AGCGUGCGCAGGCGGUUAUAUAAGACAGAUGUGAAAUACCCCGGGCCUCAACCUGGGAACUGCAUUUGUGACUGUAUAGCUGGAGUGCGGCAGAGGGGGAUGGAAUUCCGCGUGUAGCAGUGAAAUGCGUAGAUAUGCGGAGGAACACCGAUGGCGAAGGCAAUCCCCUGGGCCUGCACUGACGCUCAUGCACGAAAGCGUGGGGAGCAAACAGGAUUAGAUACCCUUGU
rnacentral:rRNA from 1 species